AACGAACGCUGGCGGCAGGCUUAACACAUGCAAGUCGAACGGGCACCUUCGGGUGUCAGUGGCAGACGGGUGAGUAACGCGUGGGAACGUACCCUUCGGUUCGGAAUAACCCACGGGAAACUUGGGCGUAACACCGGAUACGUCCGCAAGGAGAAAGAUUUAUCGCCGAAGGAUCGGCCCGCGUCGGAUUAGCUAGUUGGUGGGGUAAGUGGCCCAUCAAGGCGGACGAUCCGUAGCUGGUCUGAGAGGAUGAUCAGCCACACUGGGACGUGAGACACGGCCCAGACUCCUACGGGAGGCAGCAGUGGGGAAUAUUGGACAAUGGGCGAAAGGCCUGAUCCAGCCAUGCCGCGUGAGUGAAGAAGGCCUUAGGGUUGUAAAGCUCUUUCAGCGGGGAAGAUAAUGACGGUACCCGCAGAAGAAGUCCC
rnacentral:rRNA from 1 species